GACGAACGCUGGCGGCGUGCUUAACACAUGCAAGUCGAACGGAAAGGCCCUGCUUGUGUGUGGUUCUCGAGGGGCGAACGGGUGAGUAACAUGGGAGUAACCUGCCCUUGACUUUGGGAUAACUUCAGGAAACUGCGGCUAAUACCGGAUAGGAGCUCCUGCUGCAUGGUGGGGGUUGGAAAGUUUCGGCUGUUGUGGAUGUACUUAGGUCUUAUCAGCUUGUUGGUGGGGUAGAGGCCUACCAAGGCGUUGACCGGUAGCCGGCCUGAGAGGGGGAUCGGCCGCACUGGAGGGUGGACACGGUCAUUGGUACUAAGAGAGGCACCAGACGGGAACGGGGGGCAACAGGCGGGAACAUGGCACAAUGGGGCGGCGUGUGAUAAGAAGACCUCCGGAGCGGGAAGAAGGCUUUGGGGGUAUGAACCGCAUUAAGCUGUGACGAAGCGUGAGUGACGGUACUAAGUAAAGAAGCACCGGCUAACUACGUG
rnacentral:rRNA from 1 species